AGUGAACGCUGGCGGUAGGCCUAAUACAUGCAAGUCGAACGGCAGCACAGUAAGAGCUUGCUCUUACGGGUGGCGAGUGGCGGACGGGUGAGGAAUACAUCGGAAUCUACUUUUUCGUGGGGGAUAACGUAGGGAAACUUACGCUAAUACCGCAUACGACCUACGGGUGAAAGCAGGGGAUCUUCGGACCUUGCGCGAUUGAAUGAGCCGAUGUCGGAUUAGCUAGUUGGCGGGGUAAAGGCCCACCAAGGCGACGAUCCGUAGCUGGUCUGAGAGGAUGAUCAGCCACACUGGAACUGGGAAACGGUCCAGACUCCUAGGGGAGGCAGCAGUGGGAAAUAUUGGAAAAUGGGCGAAAGCCUACGCCAGCCAUACGGCGUGGGUGAGAAAGGCCUCCGGGUUGUAAAGCCCUUUUGUUGGGAAAGAAAAGCAGCAGGUUAAUACCCCGCUGUUCGGACGGUACCAAAAGAAUAAGCACCGGCUACCUUCGG
rnacentral:rRNA from 1 species